GAGGGCUUGGCAAGAUUAAGAGGUAGAUGUUGAAUCUUCCAUCUUUGUGGUGCUUGUUUGUUUCCAUGGAAAUCGUUUUUUUGCCUUGCUUUAGUUUGUCUAUAAUAUGGGUUCUUUGGGCUUUGAUGUGAUGGGGAUUUGGACUUUCUGACCUAAAUCCUAGUCGGACUUUGGCAUUUGAAUUUGAAACCAAACAUGCUCUGCUUCCACUAUAUUAUUCAGCCCAAGAAAACAAGAACUUGUGAUUAGUUUUCUUAUGGUAAUGAUUUGGAAAAUUCUCUUCAAAGAAUUUUUGUGCGAGGAAGUGGUGCCUAAAAUAAACUUGUAGCGUCUAUGGUUCAUUUGAGUAAUAACUUCAGAUUGUAGACACAAAAAUGGUAGACCAAUCUCCUUCUCUGGAGAUGGAGUUGGUUUUCUUACUCUUGUUUGUAUGAACUUUUGCAGGGCUAUAUUGGGCAGUGUAAGCAACUAUGUGGUGAAUAAUGGAACGUGCCCUGUUACUGUUGUGAAGCAGACAGACUAUGAGAGCUAAAUUUCUUUUGCUAAACAGCAUCCUAUCGUUCAUAGGAUAUAUGAGUGGAUUGGAUUCCAU
rnacentral:misc_RNA from 1 species